rnacentral:rRNA from 1 species
AGAGUUUGAUUCUGGCUCAGGAUGAACGCUAGCGGCAGGCUUAACACAUGCAAGUCGAGGGGCAGCGCGGGAGUAGCAAUACUCUGGCGGCGACCGGCGGAAGGGUGCGUAACGCGUGAGCAACAUGCCCGUGGCAGGGGGAUAAGCGAUGGAAACGUCGUCUAAGACCCCGUAACAACAGACCUCGCAUGGGGUUUGUUUGAAAGCUUCGGCGGCCACGGAUUGGCUCGCGUCCCAUUAGGCAGUUGGCGGGGUAACGGCCCACCAAACCGACGAUGGGUAGGGGUUCUGAGAGGAAGGUCCCCCACAAUGGAACUGAGACACGGUCCAUACUCCUACGGGAGGCAGCAGUGAGGAAUAUUGGUCAAUGGGCGGAAGCCUGAACCAGCCAUGCCGCGUGCAGGAAUAAGGCCCUACGGGUCGUAAACUGCUUUUGUACGGGAGCAAUAAGGGUCACGAGUGGCCUGAUGAGAGUACCGUACGAAUAAGCAUCGGCUAACUCCGUGCCAGCCGCCGC